rnacentral:lncRNA from 1 species
AGGCGACUCCGGGAUACUGGCCUUCUAGGCAGGGUUGCAAAGAAAAAGACAUAUCUCAGACUGGCCAAUAAAAAGAAAAGAUUAAGAUGCGCAAAAGAACACAGACACUGGACAGAGGAACUCUGCCUAGAAGGCCAGCAUCCCGGAGUCGCCUCUUCACUGUUGAAAUUGAGACUGGUGUUUUGCAGAUCUGCCAAUCUGCUCGGUGGAGUGUUCCAGGCCUGGAGUGGCAUGCUGGAACUUCCAGAGUCUUGUAGAGCUGAAGCAGUGUGAUGUGGUCCAGAGGGAUGAGGACUGAGGAGCCCUGUGAGCAGCCAGUCAAGCCCCCAGGUCUUGCCCCAGCCCAAGACCAGCGCCGGGCCCAGCCCCGGUCCACUCAGCUUUACCUUGCUCUGCGGAGGGGGAACAGCCAGAGAGAGAGAGAGAGAGAGAGAGAGAAAGAAAAAGAAAAUAAGCAUCACUGCAGAGCAGCAUGCACACACACCUACAGAUGUAGGAUCUUAAUUUGAGCCACAUCGCCACAGCAGGAAAAUAACCCUCUUGCAACUGGAAAUAUGAAUUAUUAUCUGGAUUAUAAUGAAUGGAAAUGUUUGUAUGGCUUGAUACAAGUUUGUGAGGGAAAAUCAAGUCCCAUUUCAAAGUGGAAAUUACAAACUUCUUAAACCUCAAAUGGGUCUUUCUAUAAAUAAUUG